rnacentral:misc_RNA from 1 species
GAUGAAGAACGCAGCGAAAUGCGAUACGUAAUGUGAAUUGCAGAAUUCAGUGAAUCAUCGAAUCUUUGAACGCACAUUGCGCCCGCCAGUAUUCUGGCGGGCAUGCCUGUCUGAGCGUCAUUUCAACCCUCAUGCCCCUAGGGCGUGGUGUUGGGGAUCGGCCAAAGCCCGCGAGGGACGGCCGGCCCCUAAAUCUAGUGGCGGACCCGUCGUGGCCUCCUCUGCGAAGUAGUGAUAUUCCGCAUCGGAGAGCGAUGAGCCCCUGCCGUUAAACCCCCAACUUUCCAAGGCUGACCUCAGAUCAGGUAGGAAUACCCGCUGAACUUAAGCAUAUCAAUAAGCGGAGGA